ACAUUUUCUAAUAGGGGCAUAUAAUCUCCUCGCAAGGUCGGCGAUGGGUGGAUCAGUGGAAGACUUAACUUUGCUGCCUAGUAGCGCCUUCAUCCGCCGCAAACAGGGAAGAUGGCCCAGGCUGGAAUAGAAGAGUGGAUAAUGUAGUGUGUUCCUUCUCAGAGUUGGAAGGAGCCAAGCAUUAUGUAGCCCCUCAACCCCUUAUUAAAGAGCAGGAUCAUUUACGAGCCAGCUUCCCAGAAAAUCACAUACUACAUCACAUAACACCAGAAUCCUGGAGAGAACACACACAAGUUCCCAAUAUUCUGUCAUGAGGCAACUUUCCAGACAAGGCUUCACAUUUUACAGGGGGCUCUAAAUGACAUUAUUGCCCCCUGAUCACAUUCACACAUUUCUCAUCAAUUCUUCCAUCUUUUUUUUCCCACCAUGGAAAAUGCACUAAGGAUGAAAACAGAAUAGCUGCAUAAUGCCUUCUGAGGAUUAGCACCAGAACCUCCAUCUGGAAGCAUGCUAAAGCCAGUGGAAGAGCCAGGCUGGCACAAUGUUUAGACUGUUGGACUGGAAUUCAGGCAAUCUGAGUUGUAGUCUUCACUCAGCCAUGGAGCUCACUAAAUGAUUUCUAGCCAGUCACUGACUCUCAGCCUAACUUGCCUUAUAGGGCUGUCAUAAGAAUGAAAUGGAGAAGAGGAGAAUUCAUAAGCAGCUUUGGAUCCCUAGGCGGAAAAAAUGGUGGCAUAUAAAAAUAAAUAAAGUACAAUAUGAUGCAUGCUUAAACAAGAAAGAGUUCUUUGCAACUUUCCAUAUUCCCCAGCCAGCAUAUGGGAUUGAAAGGGCAGGGCUAUGUAGGAGACACUGGAGUCAGGGAACCGGUUUAAUCCCCAAUUCCAGAAGUAUUCUACAGGUUACUCCUUUGCUUUUUCCCUUAUAACUGAAUAGGUCCCAUUCAAAAACAAAGUGUUGUAUGCUUUGUUACAUACAAAGGAGAGGAAAACCAGGUUGACAUGGUGACAAGGUCUCUGUAAUAGUGUGGAAUGAAGCCCCUGCCUCCCCCCUCACACACUUACAUUCUGCAUUUAUCAUGAUGAUGGUGAUUGUCUUCCUUGCUUGUGAAGGAAUGCAAUCUAAACACAUAUUCCUAAGCAGGUUCUUACAGUUACAGUUUGUGUCCUUUCAAAUGUUGAAUUCCUAAACAAAUAUAUUUAAGCAUAACUCCAUUUCACUCACUGGGACAUAUUUCUGAGUAAAUAUGCUGUAUUAUAUGUACUGAAUACCUUUCAGUUUUAAAUGAAAUGCGGUUUCAAAAGACCAUUGUUUUCAGAGUGUUGGUGCCACUACUCAGGGACAACUGACAUCUGAGUUUACAAGUGGUGUGUUCACAUCGGGUCACAAUUUGCUUGUUGAGAUGUUGUCACAAUACAUAUGCAAAAGCAGGGAAUCUUGCUAAAGUUGGGAAUGAGGGUGGCAGUUUUUCUGAUGUGUGCUCCUGGAAUGAAUCCCCACACCUGGUUCCCCACCCUCCUCCAAACUGUAGAUGUAACAUAUUGUACGGACUCCAUCUUUGUAGUCCCUUUCUGGGCUAUCUACAUGUUGCAUGUAUUUCCUGUAUGUCUGAAUAAACUGUAAUUUAUUGUA